GCUUAUACAACCAUGGUACUUGGUUAUUUCAUCAACAACUUCAUACUAGCAUUUUGAACCUGUGACAAGCGGUUUAGGAACCAAUAGAAUCAUUUUAAGAAUGGAGAUUAGAGCUUGAGACAUUUCAAGGCCUGUGGUAAUAGAAAGCUGAAGCUGCUGGUGGAGUUGAUUUGUUUCUUUGUUUCUUUCUUUUCUUUUUCUUCUUCCUUUUUUUUUUUUAAAAAACACAACCUUUGGUUGCAAUCAUGGAGUCCAUUUCAGCAAACCUGCCAGCACCAAUGAGAAACCACCACAGNNNNNNNNNNNNNNNNNNNNCUUGAGACAUUUCAAGGCCUGUGGUAAUAGAAAGCUGAAGCUGCUGGUUGGAGUUGAUUUGUUUCUUUGUUUCUUUCUUUUCUUUUUCUUCUUCCUUUUUUUUUUUUAAAAAAACACAACCUUUGGUUGCAAUCAUGGAGUCCAUUUCAGCAAACCUGCCAGCACCAAUGAGAAACCACCACAGUACAUCCCCUUUCUUGUCUU
rnacentral:lncRNA from 1 species